rnacentral:tRNA from 1 species
GCCUCGAUAGCUCAGUUGGGAGAGCGUCAGACUGAUGAUCUGAAGGUCCCUGGAUCGAUCCCGGGUCGCGGCA